rnacentral:piRNA from 1 species
GCAUUUGGGAUAAAGGCAGAUCUG